rnacentral:rRNA from 1 species
AGGGUGUAAACGCUGCAGACUUGGUGUUGGAGGCCCUUUGGGGGCAUUCAGUGCCGGAGAGAAGUUGUUAAGUCUGCUACUUGGGAGUACGUCCGCAAGGAUGAAACUUAAAGGAAUUGGCGGGGGAGCACCGCAACGGGAGGAGCGUGCGGUUUAAUUGGAUUCAACACCGUAAAACUCACCAGGGAAGACUGUUACAUGAAGGCCGAGAUGAAGACUCUGCUAGAUUUUCAGAGAGGAGGUGCAUGGCGUCAGUGACU